rnacentral:rRNA from 1 species
CAGAGGGCGCGAGCGUUGUCCGGAAUCACUGGGCGUAAAGGGCGCGUAGGUGGCCACUAUAAGGCCGCGGUGAAAGUUCGGGGCUCAACCCUGAAUCGGCCGCGGCGACUGUAGGGCUUGGGCACUGUAGAGGCAGAUGGAAUUCCGGGUGUAGCGGUGGAAUGCGUAGAGAUCCGGAAGAACACCGGUGGCGAAGGCGGUCUGCUGGGCAGUGGCUCGCAAGGGCCAAUAGCCGACACUGAGGCGCGACAGCGUGGGGAGCAAACAGGAUUAGAUACCCUGGUAGUCCACGCCGUAAACGAUGGGCACUAGGUGCUCCGGGGAGCGACCCUUGGAGUACCGGCGCUAACGCAUGAAGUGCCCCGCUGGGGAGUACGGCCGCAAGGCUG